ensembl:lncRNA
AGAACAACAGUGGGGAAAGUGUUUCCAUGCAGGUUUGGCCCUUGCUGCAAUGCUGUGGGCCCACAGCCCUCCUUGCCAAGAAGCAAAGACCAGGGAUGCUUUGUCACACAGUCUCAGAGCCAUUAAAAGCCAACGCUCAAAGGAACAAGGUUUCACUGGCUUGGACAUGAGGUAGAAAUCAAUAUGGAUUCCUUUAAUUUGGCUCACGACCGAUGUGCUCAGCUUCCUAAAGAAGCGACGGCAGCUGUUCCACCAUUUCCAAGCAUUUCCAGUUGGAAGCCUCCCCUAAAAGAAGGAUUCCCCCCUUGCUAAGUGCUUUCAUGUGCAGUGCAGCUGCACCCCAACACAAAUCGCACGGGGAGAGAAGAGCAAAGCUUUGACUCCUUGAAGCUCACACCAGGAUUUGAAAUCCGGACUUUUCACAGCAAAGCACACCAUUGCCUUGCUUUUCAAAUGAGGAAUAUGAAGAAAUUUUACCCUCUCUUCCCUUUUCUUUUUUUUUUUUUUUUUUUGAGCAGCUGGAAUAUGUUUUGGAGGAAAUUUCAGGCUGAUUACUUCAAGUCUGGUAAAGCAAUAAAGCAGCUGAGAGCAGAGUAUGAAAGCAGAAUUCCUCAACUGCUGCUGAAGUGCUGCGAGGUCCCAACCCGAGGGAGCACUGCCACAGGCUGAGCUGGCAGGGACAGGUCAGGGCUGUGCUGCAGAGAUGAGCUGCAAUCCGGGCUGAGGGCACUGCAAAGAGCCCCAGCUUCCAGCAGCACUGAGCAGUGCAAAGCCCACAGAGCCCAGCUGAUCCUGGCUGAAGAAACAGAGCCCCAGAUCUCUUCUGCAAGAUGAAGGCACUAUGCAGCCCGUGACUGCACAUGAAUUCGCUGCUCCUGCUGCCAGGCUCCAAUCUUUCCAUCUCCUCGUUCUGCUUCUCUUUCAACCCUAAGUUUUCUUUACUUUUCUGCACUUUUUUUUUUUGUGGGUGAAGGCUCUGGCAGAGGUGGUGCUGCCUUCCAGAUGUGACACAGAUUAUUGCAUUAACUCUUUCUGUGGCUGGAGAUGGGGGACACUGUGAAUCCACAGCCUUCUUCAUUUGCACCCCAUGGGGGGGCUGGAACUAUGGACUUAGCAGAUUCAGUGGGAUCUUGCAGCCACGUUCUGUAGGCAAUAAAUCAAUAUACAACUUCUGAUGCCUCUUGUUAUCAGGUGAAAAAAGAAACAUAUGCCAUGUUACAGAUACGUAUAUGUGCCAAGGGAAAAAAUGCAGCGUGUGAGAUGUUGGAGCCCCACCAGCAGCAGUGUGCCAGCUUUGGGACUGCUGCAUGUGGGCCAGGUGAGCACGGUGCCUGCAGUGAUGGAGAUCAGUUCUCAGCCAUAUGGGACAACUCCAAUCCCUUCAGGAGGUGGUAGCCAGGAGCUGGCUCUGUGCUCAGCCCCACUGUGCUCCCUGCCUCCUCCCAAGCCAUCCUCUGAGCCAAGAGAAGAUGCAGAGCCUGUGCCUGUGAUGAACACAACAGCUGCACAUGGGUAGCUGGCUGGCAAGGGAGGGAGGGCAAAGCAUUAAAGGUUUCAAGCAAGUGAUGCUGUAAGGGAAUCCAGGAAGAAGGACAAGCCUGUCUGCAUUGGCUCAGAGAAAAUCAGGUUUCCUACGCUCCUGUUCACUGCAGCAGCCACCUCCAGCCUUUGUGCUCCACAGGACUUGGAAAGGACCCGUGAGCAGCACAAGGAGCAGCAUUUCCAUGUAAAGAUCACACACCAUGGAGAUCAUGCACAGAGGAAGCCUUUGUUGGUGCAGCAUCUGAACAAAGGGAAAAUGAACAUGGCGAUGUUUUCCUCCCCCUCCUAACGAGCUAUUGCCGGGCCAUUGCCAGCCCUUGGGCAUCAACGGUCUGUGAGCUGCUCCAGCUUGUGGAGCAGCCUGAGCCAUCCCUGGGAAGUGCAAGCACCAGGAGACACCUUGAAUCACACGGAUGGUGAGAGCUUGAUUACAGCUCAGUGCUGGCAAUGCAAGCUGUGCAGUUUUACACUGCAUUUCCUCCACUAGAGGAGAGGGAUGAGAUACCCUCUUGGUACCUCUUUGUGGAAUACAAUUCUUCAGCACUUCUAACUGACGAUACUUAUGCCAUUGCUAGGAAACACUAACAAAUAACUACCUUUUCAUAGCAGCCAAACAGACGUAUUCUUGUGGGAGGCAGAUUCUUUUGAAGAUGAAAUACUUUCAGAUGUAGUCUUUUGGCUUUCAAGGAGAUGGAAUGGACAACGUCUCCUGGAGACAAUAGAGUUUCUGUGCACCUGGAAUUUGGCUGUAACAUGAACUUCAUUGCCGUGCAAUCCAGGGUAGAAGAGCUGACCUCUAUUCCUGCAAACACACAAAUAAGGGAGGCUGCACCAACAGCUUCCAGCCUCUCAAAGGCAAAGCAUUCACUGGAUACAGGUCCAGAUACCUCGGAUGUGUUUGCACUGGGCUACAAAUUGCAUGGAACUGUGCUGAUGGGGAAUCAGUUGGUUUCAUAAAGUGACAUCCUCAUAGGCUGCUCACCAGCUCCCGAAAUGCAAAUUGCUGAUAGCAAAAAGCAUCAUCGUAAGCUUAGCUAACAAUAAGAAUGUGCAUU